rnacentral:lncRNA from 10 species
UCGGGCUCAAACGAUCCAACUGCAUGCAAGCAGACAAAUACAAUUAACCUUCACUAUUGUGGUAAGGAAACAUGGUGAAAAUUUAUCAAGUGUCACAAGAAUGUAUGAUAAAAUUUGUUCUUUUUUUUUUUACAAAACAUACAAUUAAAAGAUAUAUAAAGUAUGCCUCUCCAGUGAGACUUUUCUUUUCCUUUUUCUUUGAGACAGGGUCUCACUCUGUCAUCCAGGCUGGAGUGCAAUGGGUGUGUUCAAAGCUCAUCGCAGCCUUGACCUCACAGGUUCAAGCAAUCCUCCCACCAUGGCCUCCCAAAUAUCUGGGACUAUAGGCCUGCACCACCAUGCCUGGCUUUUUUUUUUUUUUUUUUUUUUUUUUUUUUGCACUUUUUGUAGAGACAGGGUUUCACUAUGUUGCCCACGGUGCUCGCGAAGUAUAUAUACUCAAGCCAUCCACCUGCUUCGGCCUCCUAAAAUGCUGGGAUUACAGGCAUAAGCCACCGUGCCUGCCUCCAGUGAGACAUUUUUAAGGGGUGGCUCCAUGCAUUUGAAGCUUCCAAACACCCAACAGAAUCUCACCAGUCACCAAUAACCAAGAUCCUCUCUGAUCCUGUGCUAGAGAAAUCCUUAAAGGAACUAGAAGAAUUUCCUUUGUCUUUUUUUUUUUUUUGAGACGGAGUCUCGCUCUGUCUCCCAGGCUG